GACGAACGCUGGCGGCGUGCCUGAUACAUGCAAGUAGAACGCUGAAGAGAGGAGCUUACUCUUCUUGGAUGAGUUGCGAACGGGUGAGUAACGCGUAGGUAACCUGCCUUGUAGCGGGGGAUAACUAUUGGAAACGAUAGCUAAUACCGCAUAACAAUGGAUGACACAUGUCAUUUAUUUGAAAGGGGCAAUUGCUCCACUACAAGAUGGACCUGCGUUGUAUUAGCUAGUAGGUGAGGUAAUGGCUCACCUAGGCGACGAUACAUAGCCGACCUGAGAGGGUGAUCGGCCACACUGGGACUGAGACACGGCCCAGACUCCUACGGGAGGCAGCAGUAGGGAAUCUUCGGCAAUAGGGGCAACCCUGACCGAGCAACGCCGCGUGAGUGAAGAAGGUUUUCGGAUCGUAAAGCUCUGUUGUAAGUCAAGAACGGGUGUGAGAGUGGAAAGUUCACACUGUGACGGUAGCUUACCAGAAAGGGACGGCUAACUACGCG
rnacentral:rRNA from 1 species